UAAGGCAUACAAGGGAGUUCUUAAAAGAUCUGAGAGGAGGCCUAGCCUCGACCUUACCUGAUUUGGAUAAUGCCAACGUAGGGAUGUAUAUUUUUAUGCAUA
rnacentral:ncRNA from 2 species